rnacentral:rRNA from 1 species
UACGAAGGGUGCAAGCGUUACUCGGAAUUACUGGGCGUAAAGCGUGCGUAGGUGGUUUGUUAAGUCUGAUGUGAAAGCCCUGGGUUCAACCUGGGAAUGGCAUUGGAUACUGGCGAGCUAGAGUGCGGUAGAGGGUAGUGGAAUUCCCGGUGUAGCAGUGAAAUGCGUAGAGAUCGGGAGGAACAUCUGUGGCGAAGGCGACUACCUGGACCAGCACUGACACUGAGGCACGAAAGCGUGGGGAGCAAACAGG